GACGAACGCUGGCGGCGUGCUUAACACAUGCAAGUCGAACGGAAAGGCCCUGCUUUUGUGGGGUGCUCGAGUGGCGAACGGGUGAGUAACACGUGAGUAACCUGCCCUUGACUUUGGGAUAACUUCAGGAAACUGGGGCUAAUACCGGAUAGGAGCUCCUGCUGCAUGGUGGGGGUUGGAAAGUUUCGGCGGUUGGGGAUGGACUCGCGGCUUAUCAGCUUGUUGGUGGGGUAGUGGCUUACCAAGGCUUUGACGGGUAGCCGGCCUGAGAGGGUGACCGGCCACAUUGGGACUGAGGUACGGCCCAGACUCCUACGGGAGGCAGCGGUGGGGAAUAUUGCACAAUGGGCGGAAGCCUGAUGCAACAACGCCGCGUGCGGGAUGACGGCCUUCGGGUUGUAAACCGCUUUCGCCUGUGACGAAGCGGGAGUGACGGUAAUGGGUAAAGAAGCACCGGCUAACUACGUG
rnacentral:rRNA from 1 species